rnacentral:rRNA from 1 species
CCUACGGGAGGCAGCAGUGAGGAAUAUUGGUCAAUGGACGAGAGUCUGAACCAGCCAAGUAGCGUGAAGGAUGACUGCCCCAUGGGUUGUAAACUUCUUUUAUAUGGGAAUAAAAUGUUCCACGUGUGGGAUUUUGUAUGUACCAUAUGAAUAAGGAUCGGCUAACUCCGUGCCAGCAGCCGCGGUAAUACGGAGGAUCCGAGCGUUAUCCGGAUUUAUUGGGUUUAAAGGGAGCGUAGGUGGAUUGUUAAGUCAGUUGUGAAAGUUUGCGGCUCAACCGUAAAAUUGCAGUUGAAACUGGCAGUCUUGAGUGCAGUAGAGGUGGGCGGAAUUCGUGGUGUAGCGGUGAAAUGCUUAGAUAUCACGAAGAACUCCGAUUGCGAAGGCAGUUCACUGGACUGCAACUGACACUGAGGCUCGAAAGUGUGGGUAUCAAACAGGAUUAGAUACCCCUGUAGUC